GUUCUUUACCUCUCGCUAUGUGUAUAUUGUGUGUGUGUGUGCGUGCGUGUGUGCGCGCGUGUUUCCUCUGCUCCUUUUGAGCCAUUGUGCUUAACUGAAUUUUAUAACGCUGAUCGAUAUCUUGGUAAAAUAUUCAUUUUUAAACUAGCGGGCAGUGAAAUCUUUGCUUUGUGCUAAAGUCAACAGUCGCUCCAAUAAAUGCAGCGAUGCCUUUCCGCGGAAUUGCAGACGGUGGGGUAUCUGGCUUGUCAUCUGCGAUCUGCAGCUCUCUGGCAUCAGGCACUUAUUCCAUCAUCAAAGCAACAUAUAUACUGAGGUGCUUUGAUCUGCAGGAAAGGAUUAAGAUCCAGGCAAAAGCAUGCACCUUUCCAUCCCACAGGCUUCCAUUGAAAUCUGCUGAAGUCAGUGGAACUCAAAAGAUUUAUAUGGAAAGAGAUGCCAACCACAAAUGGAGGUCUGACACAGAUUUAAGAACCCAGAAGGUUUGUUUCAGAAGCCAAGAAAACAAUCACCAAUGGCUCUAUGGUGUUUAACAGGAUUACUUAAAGUCUGAACAAGAGUGAAGUCUAGAUUAUAGCGGCACUGCAGCCAAAUUGACACAGCAAAAAACCUCUGUGGCACCUUAAAGGCUAACAUAACAAGAUGAACUUUCAUGGAACCAGAGUUCUUUUUAUUAGAUAUGAUAUCAUCCCAAAAUGGCAUGUGGGACUAAUCUGAGUGUAGGAACAGGAAGAAUAUACCAGCAUUUAAGUCUUAAUGAAUAAUAUGCAAGAAAUGCAUGAGUGCAAAUUAUGGGCAUAAAAUUUAGUCAGAAAAAUGCUUGAACUUAAUGGGACAUGCUUAUUGAAACUUAUAUGACUGCCAAUUAAAUAAGGUCCACAGGCUUUAAAAAUACCUUUAUAAUUGAAUGUCUAGCAUUAUUACUACCAUAAUUAUAUUUCCAGUUAUAGAGACCAGUGGAAACAUGCAUUUCUGCUUUUGAAUCUUUUAAAAUCCUCUUUAUUUUCUCAAGUGUAUGGCUUGCUGUUUCCAGGUUUUUCUUCCAGAUAUUUCCAAGCUGAGUGGGAAAAUUCCAACUGCUAGGAAUUAUGGGUGUCCCUGGUGCUUUAAAAGGCUGGUCACUUCACAGUGUGUCUAAUCAGAAGUCUGCAGGGCCUUCCGUUGAGCAAAUGGCCUGCAGACAAUAAAGACAGCCAGGUUUAAAAACA
rnacentral:lncRNA from 1 species